UUCUAUUCAAAAUUUUCUUUUUUGGUUUCUUUUUUUAAAUCGGUGAGACGAAUAUAAUCCAUGAAUAUGCUCGCGUUAGUUAUACGCGCGUGAGUGCGAUCGUGGGGAAUUUGUUCUCAUCCCACGGCCCAUAAUUUCGUAUACGUUUAUAAGUAUCAUGCUUCGAGUGUAACGCUAAACACAACAUAAACAUAUUCAACAACAUCAUUCUUUGUUUCAAUCUCCCAACCAAAACACACAAAUCAUGGGUUUGAAGGUUUAUCUCCUUAAUCUAUAUCUAUUGUUUUUUAUAUUCUUUCUAAUGUUUCAAUUUCAAUCAUGUCUAUAGUGUUUUUUUUUCUUCUUUUUUUCUGUGAUGAUAUUUUAGAUCCGUGACACUGUUUAUUGUUGUUUUUUUUUAAUGGGGUGAUGAAUUUAUGGUAAAAAAACAAUCUUUUCAUUGUUUUGAUUGGCGAGUGUUUGGUUGAAAUUUAGUUGUUGCAUCAGAGAAAUUGUUGUUUUUUGAUUUAUUGUUGGGAAUUUGAAUUGUGAAUUUCAAAUUCAAUCCUUUACACCUUUAGCUUAUUAGAUUAGAUGGCCAUGUCUUGAUUUUGAAUUAAGGAAACU
rnacentral:lncRNA from 1 species